UACGUAGGGGGCUAGCGUUGUCCGGAUUUAUUGGGCGUAAAGAGCGUGUAGGCGGCCAGGUAGGUCUGCUGUGAAAACUCGAGGCUCAACCUCGAGACGUCGGCGGAAACCAUCUGGCUAGAGUCCGGAAGAGGAGAGUGGAAGUUCCUGGUGUAGCGGUGAAAUGCGCAGAGUAGUCAGGAAGAACACCCGUGGCGAAGGCGGCUCUCUGGGACGGUACUGACGCUGAGACGCGAAAGCGUGGGGAGCGAACAGG
rnacentral:rRNA from 1 species